AAUCCGAUGGGCAAUCAGGCAUCAGAAUUCAUCGAUAUGUAAACCUGAUCGAAAAAUCCCAACCAGUGGGACUCUUGACCCCGGUACCCAUAAUGUGUGGAACUCAUGAUCAGAGAAUCCUGAUUCUCGAUCACUGAGUUCCAAACAUGUAGGAUUCUACAUCAACCAUCAGAUCAGAUAAGAACCUCUAAUGUGUGUGACCCCGCAAGAUCGAACCUAAGUCGGUAGCACAGGAACCAAUUCCUGUACUAAUUGAAGUGACCAUCUAGCAAUGGUACCCG
rnacentral:lncRNA from 1 species